GUGGAGCUUGAUGAUUCUCACCCAAUAAAUGAGUAAUUUUUAACUGAAUUAUUCUUUGAUGUUUUAUCACCUUGGAGAACUGAGGCUUCUU